GGGGGGACUCGGGUAGUGGCGGACGGGUGAGUAACACGUGAGAAUCUGCCUCUUGGACGGGGACAACAGAGGGAAACUUCUGCUAAUCCCGGAUGAGCCGCAAGGUCAACGAUUUAUCGCCAAGAGAUGAGCUCGCGUCUGAUUAGCUAGUUGGUGAGGUAAAGGCUUACCAAGGCAACGAUCAGUAGCUGGUCUGAGAGGAUGAUCAGCCACACUGGGACUGAGACGCGGCCCAGACUCCUACGGGAGGCAGCAGUGGGGAAUUUUCCGCAAUGGGCGCAAGCCUGACGGAGCAAGACCGCGUGGGGGAGGAAAGCCUUUGGGUUGUAAACCCCUUUUCUCAGGGAAGAAGAAAGUGACGGUACCUGAGGAAUCAGCCUCGGCUAACUCCGUGCCAGCAGCCGCGGUAAUACGGAGGAGGCAAGCGUUAUCCGGAAUGAUUGGGCGUAAAGCGUCUGUAGGUGGCUAUUCAAGUCUGCUGUCAAAGCCUGAGGCUCAACCUCAGAUCGGCAGUGGAAACUGAGUAGCUUGAGUGCGGUAGGGGCAGAGGGAAUUCCCGGUGUAGCGGUGAAAUGCGUAGAGAUCGGGAAGAACACCGGUGGCGAAAGCGCUCUGCUGGGCCGCAACUGACACUGAGGGACGAAAGCUAG
rnacentral:rRNA from 1 species